rnacentral:rRNA from 1 species
UACGUAGGGGGGCAAGCGUUGUCCGGAAUCAUUGGGCGUAAAGAGCGUGUAGGCGGCCUGGUAAGUCCGCUGUGAAAGUCCAGGGCUCAACCCUGGAAUGCCGGUGGAAACUGUCAGGCUCGAGUCCGGAAGAGGCGAGUGGAAUUCCUGGUGUAGCGGUGAAAUGCGCAGAUAUCAGGAGGAACACCGAUGGCGAAGGCAGGUCUCUGGGCCAUAACUGACGCUGAGAAGCGAAAGCAUGGGGAGCGAACAGG